AUACUUACCUGGCAGGCGAGAUUCCAUGAUUACGAAGGUAGUUUUCCCAGGGCGAGGCUUAUCCCUUGCACUCGGGAUGUGCUGACCCCUGCGAUUUCCCCAAAUGUGGGAAACUCGACUGCAUAAUUUGUGGUAGUGGGGGACUGCGUUCGCACUCUCCCCUG
ensembl:snRNA U1 U1 spliceosomal RNA